GACGAACGCUGGCGGCGUGCCUAAUACAUGCAAGUUGAGCGCUGAAGGUUGGUACUUGUACCAACUGGAUGAGCAGCGAACGGGUGAGUAACGCGUGGGGAAUCUGCCUUUGAGCGGGGGACAACAUUUGGAAACGAAUGCUAAUACCGCAUAAAAACUUUAAACACAAGUUUUAAGUUUGAAAGAUGCAAUUGCAUCACUCAAAGAUGAUCCCGCGUUGUAUUAGCUAGUUGGUGAGGUAAAGGCUCACCAAGGCGAAGAUACAUAGCCUACCUGAGAGGGUGAUCGGCCACAAUGGGACUGAGACACGGCCCAAACUCCUACGGGAGGCAGCAGUAGGGAAUCUUCGGCAAUAGACGGAAGUCUGACCGAGCAACGCCGCGUGAGUGAAGAAGGUUGUCGGAUCGUAAAACUCUGUUGGUAGAGAAGAACGUUGGUGAGAGUGGAAAGCUCAUCAAGUGACGGUAACUACACAGAAAGGGACGGCUAACUACGUG
rnacentral:rRNA from 1 species